AUACGGAGGGUGCGAGCGUUAAUCGGAAUUACUGGGCGUAAAGCGUGCGUAGGCGGUUUGUUAAGUCAGAAGUGAGAGCCCUGGGCUCAACCUGGGAACGGCUUUUGAGACUGGCAGACUCGAGUUGAGUAGAGGGGAGUGGAAUUUCCGGUGUAGCGGUGAAAUGCGUAGAGAUCGGAAGGAACACCAGUGGCGAAGGCGACUCCCUGGACUCAAACUGACGCUGAGGUACGAAAGCGUGGGUAGCAAACAGGAUUAGAUACCCCAGUAGUCC
rnacentral:rRNA from 1 species